UACGUAGGGUGCAAGCGUUGUCCGGAAUUAUUGGGCGUAAAGAGCUCGUAGGCGGUUCGUCGCGUCGGCUGUGAAAACCCGGAGCUCAACUCCGGGCCUGCAGUCGAUACGGGCGGACUCGAGUUCGGCAGGGGAGACUGGAAUUCCUGGUGUAGCGGUGAAAUGCGCAGAUAUCAGGAGGAACACCGGUGGCGAAGGCGGGUCUCUGGGCCGAUACUGACGCUGAGGAGCGAAAGCUAGGGGAGCGAACGGG
rnacentral:rRNA from 1 species